rnacentral:rRNA from 1 species
UACGGGGGGGCAAGCGUUGUUCGGAAUUACUGGGCGUAAAGGGCUCGUAGGCGGCCAACUAAGUCAGACGUGAAAUCCCUCGGCUCAACCGAGGAACGUCGAUCGAUACUGCUGUUCUUGAGGAUUGCAGAGGAGACUGGAAUUCCCGGUGUAGCGGUGAAAUGUGUAGAGAUCGGGAGGAACACCGGUGGCGAAGGCGG